CUGCUGUAGAAACACAUCUGCCUGCAAACCCCACUAAGGCCAGCGCUCAUUCACACACCUUUCAUGCCUGCCUGAGCCCCACAUGUGAGCUGGUGGCAUCAGCCAUUGUGACAACCACAGGCUUUGCUGUGGAACGUGACUCAGAAUUCUGCCUUGAUGUGCUGAGGCUGCCUCAUGAUGAGCUUCAUUGGAAAUGUCUUUUGGUGAGGGGCAAGCCACACACUUCUUGUUUUCCUUCUCUGUAUUCCUCCCAAGAGCCCUUUCUGAACUCCUGGGGUGAAAAAGAAAAUAGUCUGAGAUGGCGUUAUUCUGUUUAA
rnacentral:lncRNA from 1 species